rnacentral:rRNA from 1 species
AAGGGGAGCUUGCUCCUUGGAUUAGUGGCGAACGGGUGAGUAACACGUGAGUAACCUGCCCUGGACUCUGGGAUAACCCCGAGAAAUCGGAGCUAAUACCGGAUAGGACCUGGAACCGCAUGGUUUUGGGUGGAAAGUUUUUCGGUCUGGGAUGGACUCGCGGCCUAUCAGCUUGUUGGUGAGGUAAUGGCUCACCAAGGCGUCGACGGGUAGCCGGCCUGAGAGGGUGACCGGCCACACUGGGACUGAGACACGGCCCAGACUCCUACGGGAGGCAGCAGUGGGGAAUAUUGCACAAUGGGCGCAAGCCUGAUGCAGCAACGCCGCGUGAGGGAUGACGGCCUUCGGG